AUUGAACGCUGGCGGCAGGCCUAACACAUGCAAGUCGAGUGGAUGAAGGGAGCUUGCUCCUGGAUUCAGCGGCGGACGGGUGAGUAAUGCCUAGGAAUCUGCCUGGUAGUGGGGGAUAACGUCCGGAAACGGGCGCUAAUACCGCAUACGUCCUGAGGGAGAAAGUGGGGGAUCUUCGGACCUCACGCUAUCAGAUGAGCCUAGGUCGGAUUAGCUAGUUGGUGGGGUAAAGGCCUACCAAGGCGACGAUCCGUAACUGGUCUGAGAGGAUGAUCAGUCACACUGGAACUGAGACACGGUCCAGACUCCUACGGGAGGCAGCAGUGGGGAAUAUUGGACAAUGGGCGAAAGCCUGAUACAGCCAUGCCGCGUGUGUGAAGAAGGUCUUCGGAUUGUAAAGCACUUUAAGUUGGGAGGAAGGGCAGUAAGUUAAUACCUUGCUGUUUUGACGUUACCAACAGAAUAAGCACCGGCUAACUUCGUG
rnacentral:rRNA from 1 species